GACGAACGCUGGCGGCGCGCUUAACACAUGCAAGUCGAACGGAAAGGCCUGCUUUCCCUUGUGGAUUGCGGGUACUCGAGUGGCGAACGGGUGAGUAACACGUGAGUGAUCUGCCCCCAACUUGGGUAUAAGCCUGGGAAACUGGGUCUAAUUCCCGAUAGGACUGCAGGGUGGUGCCUGUGGUGGAAAACGAUUUUCUAGUGGUUGGGGAUGAGCUCGCGGCCUAUCAGCUUGUUGGUGGGGUAAUGGCCUACCAAGGCGGCGACGGGUAGCCGGCCUGAGAGGGUGGACGGCCACAUUGGGACUGGGAUACGGCCCAGACUCGUACGGGAGGCAGCAGUGGGGAAUAUUGCACAAUGGGCGGAAGCCUGAUGCAGCGACGCCGCGUGGGGGAUGACGGCCUUCGGGUUGUAAACUCCUUUCGACCGCGAGGAAGCCACCUGGUUGGAAGGGUGGUGACGGUAGUGGUAGAAGAAGCACCGGCUAACUACGUG
rnacentral:rRNA from 1 species